rnacentral:rRNA from 1 species
AUUGAACGCUGGCGGCAUACUUUACACAUGCAGGUCGAACGGUAACAGGUUAAGCUGACGAGUGGCGAACGGGUGAGUAAUGCAUCGGAACGUGCCCGGUCGUGGGGGAUAACGCAGCGAAAGCUGCGCUAAUACCGCAUACGAUCUGAGGAUGAAAGCGGGGGACCGUAAGGCCUCGCGCGAUCGGAGCGGCCGAUGUCAGAUUAGGUAGUUGGUGAGGUAAAGGCGCACCAAGCCAACGAUCUGUAGCUGGUCUGAGAGGACGACCAGCCACACUGGGACUGAGACACGGCCCAGACUCCUACGGGAGGCAGCAGUGGGGAAUUUUGGACAAUGGGCGAAAGCCUGAUCCAGCAAUGCCGCGUGCAGGAAGAAGGCCUUCGGGUUGUAAACUGCUUUUGUACGGAGCGAAAAGGCUCUCUCUAAUACAGGGGGCUCAUGACGGUACCGUAAGAAUAAGCACCGGCUAACUACGUGCCAGCCGCCGCGGUAA